rnacentral:tRNA from 1 species
GAUGGGUUAAUUCAGUGGUAGAAUACCCGGCUCUUCAUCCGGGCAGACGCAGGUUCGAGCCCUGCACCCAUCG